GACGAACGCUGGCGGCGUGCUUAACACAUGCAAGUCGAACGAAGAGCGAUGGAAGCUUGCUUCUAUCAAUCUUAGUGGCGAACGGGUGAGUAACGCGUAAUCAACCUGCCCUUCAGAGGGGGACAACAGUUGGAAACGACUGCUAAUACCGCAUACGAUCUAAUCUCGGCAUCGAGGAUAGAUGAAAGGUGGCCUCUACAUGUAAGCUAUCACUGAAGGAGGGGAUUGCGUCUGAUUAGCUAGUUGGAGGGGUAACGGCCCACCAAGGCGAUGAUCAGUAGCCGGUCUGAGAGGAUGACCGGCCACAUUGGGACUGAGACACGGCCCAGACUCCUACGGGAGGCAGCAGUGGGGAAUCUUCCGCAAUGGACGAAAGUCUGACGGAGAAACGCCGCGUGAGUGAUGACGGCCUUCGGGUUGUAAAGCUCUGUUAAUCGGGACGAAAGGCCUUCUUGCGAAUAGUGAGAAGGAUUGACGGUACCGGAAUAGAAAGCCACGGCUAACUACGUG
rnacentral:rRNA from 1 species